GCUAAAAGCAUAAUAGUAGAUACAAACAUAUAUACGCCAAUAAAACAAACCAUUUGACCAACCCAGUAGAUGUGAUCGAACAGUCCAAUAUCACCAAAGAGUACCGCAAGGGAACCAUUAAAGCACCAAACAGCAAAGAUUAACCCUUGUACCUUUCGCAUCAUGGUUUAGCAAGAAAUCUUAAAGGCAAGAUGAAUCAUAGUCUUUCACCCCGAAACCAGAUGAGCUACCUCAAAGCAGCCUAAUAGAGCGCACCCUUCUCUGUAGCAAAAGAGUGGGAAGACUUUAAGGUAGAGGCGAAACACCUACCGAAUCUGGAGAUAGCUGGCUACCCAAAAAGGAAUCUAAGUUCCACUUUAGGCCCAAAUCAGCCACCAUAUGACGCCUAAAGAAACUCAAUAGGGGUACAGCCCUAUUGAAUAAGGAUACAACCUACAUUUGAGAGAAUUACCCCACGACCUCCCCACCCGUGGGCUUCAAAGCAGCCACCCAACAAAAUAUCGUCAAAGAAUUAAUAAAACUAAUACUAAACCCAAACUAAAAACUCCAAACCCGCUAAAGGUAAACCUACAUCAGUAGGUACUACCCUGCUAAAACUAAUAAUAAGACAACCUCUCUAAACGCACCCUUCUUCUAGAAACAGAAAACCUACUAGACAUUAACAGACCUAAAAAGGACAAAAAGAACCCAAUCCACACCAAUACUCCCACUGUGACCCCGACACAGGUGCGCCAAAAAGAAAGAUCAAACACUACAAAAGGAACUCGGCAACCACAGACCCCGACUGUUUAACAAAAACAUAACCUUUAGUCAAUAAACCAAUAUUAAAGGCAACGCCUGCCCAGUGAACAAUUUAACGGCCGCGGUACCCUAACCGUGCAAAGGUAGCACAAUCACUUGUCUAUUAAUUGUAGACCUGUAUGAAAGGCAAAACGAGGGCCUAUCUGUCUCUUGUAGUAAAUCAAUUAAACUGAUCUCCCAGUCCAAAAGCUGGGAUACCAACAUAAGACCAGAAGACCCUGUGAAGCUUAAACUAAACUAUUAAAUCCUAUAAUAGCUCCUUUCGGUUGGGGCGACCCUGGAAAAAAAAAGAACUUCCAAACAUACUGACUUUAUACUCACCAACCCAGGCCAACAAGCCUAACAACGACCCAGCACAGCUGAUAACUGAACCAAGUUACUCCAGGGAUAACAGCGCUAUCUUCUUCAAGAGCCCAUAUCAAAAAGAAGGUUUACGACCUCGAUGUUGGAUCAGGACAUCCUAAUGGUGCAGCCGCUAUUAAGGGUUCGUUUGUUCAACGAUUAACAGUCCCACGUGAUCUGAGUUCAGACCGGAGCAAUCCAGGUCAGUUUCUAUCUAUGAAAAAAGCUGCACCCAGUACGAAAGGACCGAUGCAACGGAGCCAAUACCACUAGCACGCUCUUAACCUAAACUUAACCACAUAUUACCCCGACCAAGAAAAGGUCAAUUAAGGCAAUAAAAACCUUAAUGUACCCCCA
rnacentral:rRNA from 1 species